AUGAUAAUUUACAUUCCCCCACAAGCCGACACUGACCGAGCACUCAGGGAACUGUACAGCGCGAUCAGCAGUGAGGAAACCGCACACCCAGAAGCGGCGUUUAUCAUGACGGGGGACUUUAAUAAGGGUAACCUGAAGAAAGUCUCACCAAAACUCCACCAACACAUCCAUUUCAACACUCGUGGAGACCAGCUUCUUGACCACUGCUACACCUCUUUCCGGGAUGCGUACAAAGCCCUCCCCCGCGCCCCAUUCGGCCAAUCAGAUCACCGCUCCAUCCUGCUUCUACCCGCCUACAGGCAGAAGCUGAAACAGGAAGCUCCAACCCUGAGGGCGGUGCAUCGUUGGUCUGACCAAUCGGAGUCUACGGUGCGGGACUGUUUUGAUCACGCGGACUGGGAAAUGUUUCACGUGGCUGCUAAAGACAUCGAUGAAUACACAGACUCAGUCUGUGGAUUUAUCAGAAAAUGCGUGGAAGAUGUCGUCCCAUCCAGAACAGUUAAAUCCUUCCCAAAUCAAAAACCCUGGAUUAACGGAGAUGUUCGCACGGCGCUGGCGGCACGGAGCACCGCUUUUGCCUCCGCGAACACAUCGGACUACAAACAUGCACAUUACCAACUCCGGAAGACGAUCAAAGCAGCCAAACGUGAGUACAGGGACAGGGUGGAGCAACAGUUUGACAACCCUCGGAGUAUGUGGCAGGGACUAAACACGAUCACAGACUUUAGAGGGGAAACCAGCACACCGCAGACCACGGCCUCUCUGUGUGAGGAUCUAAACGUAUUCUACGCUAGAUUCGACACAGCGAAAACCAUGAGACCGGACAGUGUGCGCACCGCGGAUGACAUCAGUGCGCACACUGUGUCUGAGGAGGAUGUGCGGAAGUGCUUCAGGAGAGUGAACGCACACAAAGCUACUGGUCCGGACGGGAUUCCCGGCCGCGUCCUCAGGUCAUGCGCGGCUCAGCUGGCUGGAGUGUUUACACACAUCUUCAACCUUUCCCUCUCUCUGUCUGUAGUCCCAGCCUGCUUCAAAAUGGCCACCAUCGUCCCUGUACCCAAAUCCUCCACCAUCUCCUCAUUGAACGACUGGUGA
rnacentral:lncRNA from 1 species